GUGCGGUCUGUGGCAACCGGACGCGACGGAACAGGAGAGCACGGGAACUUGCCGCUUUCUUUCCGUGGCCCAUAAACUGGCAGACGAGUUCCUGACCCGUCCAGGCC
rnacentral:sRNA from 20 species